rnacentral:rRNA from 1 species
UGAGGAAUAUUGGUCAAUGGACGCAAGUCUGAACCAGCCAAGUCGCGUGAAGGAUGACUGCCCUACGGGUUGUAAACUUCUUUUGUACUAGAGUAAAACAGAGUAUGUAUACUCUCUUGCAAGUAUAGUACGAAUAAGCAUCGGCUAACUCCGUGCCAGCAGCCGCGGUAAUACGGAGGAUGCGAGCGUUAUCCGGAUUUAUUGGGUUUAAAGGGUGCGUAGGCGGGUUUUUAAGUCAGCGGUGAAAGUUUGAGGCUUAACCUUAAAAUUGCCGUUGAAACUGGGAACCUUGAGUGUAAAUGAAGUAGGCGGAAUUCGUAGUGUAGCGGUGAAAUGCAUAGAUAUUACGAAGAACCCCGAUUGCGCAGGCAGCUUACUAAGCUACAACUGACGCUGAAGCACGAAAGCGUGGGUAUCAAACA